rnacentral:misc_RNA from 1 species
AAUUUCUUUGAGGCGUCUCUUGAUACGCUUGAAUUUUAGAUUGCUCCAGACAUCGCUUCCAUCGUUGUAACGUUUCGUCCUUUAGGUAAAGGGCUGUAGUUCCGAUCGCUGUCGCGAGAACUACUAUAAUUGCCACCUCCAUCAAUGUAAGCCACACAAUUGGGGCGAUUUUCUCACUUUGAUACCAUCUGACGUAGCUUGAAGCUCAAAUAGAAAUACGCUCCAUACACAAAUGUGAAAAAUAGAGAAAAUUUUUUACAGUAUUUUUAUUGAUAACAAUCUGUUCUCAAAAUACAUAAAAUCUGAGGUAUUUAUAUAAAUAUUAAUCUCUUAAAUUUAAUAGAAAUAUGAAACUAUAAAUUAGGAAGUUUUAGCUGGUCCUAAAUACAAUAGAAAGAUAUAAACUAAAUGGGAAAACUAAAUAUUAAAUAAAGUAGGAAAACAAAUAAAUCCUAAAUA